rnacentral:rRNA from 1 species
AUUGAACGCUGGCGGCAUGCUUUACACAUGCAAGUCGAACGGUAACAGGGUGCUUGCACCGCUGACGAGUGGCGAACGGGUGAGUAAUGCGACGGAACGCACCGAGUAAUGGGGGAUAACGCAGCGAAAGCUGUGCUAAUACCGCAUACGCUCUGAGGAGGAAAGCGGGGGACCUUCGGGCCUCGCGUUAUUCGAGCGGCCGACGUCUGAUUAGCUAGUAGGUGAGGUAAGAGCUCACCUAGGCGACGAUCAGUAGCGGGUCUGAGAGGAUGAUCCGCCACACUGGGACUGAGACACGGUCCAGACUCCUACGGGAGGCAGCAGUGGGGAAUUUUGGACAAUGGGCGCAAGCCUGAUCCAGCCAUGCCGCGUGUCUGAAGAAGGCCUUCGGGUUGUAAAGGACUUUUGUCAGGGAGGAAAUCCUUAGCGCUAAUACCGUUGAGGGAUGACAGUACCUGAAGAAUAAGCACCGGCUAACUACGUGCCAGCCGCCGCCGUAA